rnacentral:tRNA from 1 species
AUCUUUCUAGUAUUUAACGCCAAUACAAAUGACUUCCAAUUAUUUAAUCCUGGUUAAACCCCAGGGAAAGAUA